GUUGUAUAGUCAAGUAAUUAAGUGCAUGUGGUGGAUGCCUUGGCAGUCAGAGGCGAUGAAAGACGUGAUAGCCUGCGAAAAGCUCCGGGGAGGCGGCAAAUAUCCUUUGAUCCGGAGAUGUCUGAAUGGGGGAACCCACCUACUUUAAGGUAGGUAUUGCAACAUGAAUACAUAGUGUUGCAAGGCGAACGAGGGGAAGUGAAACAUCUCAGUACCCUUAGGAAAAGAAAUCAAUUGAGAUUCCCUCAGUAGCGGCGAGCGAACGGGGAUCAGCCCAUUAAGUUAUGUGUGUUUUAGUGGAACGCUCUGGGAAGUGCGAACGUAGAGGGUGAUAUUCCCGUACACGAAAGGGCACACAUAAUGAUGACGAGUAGGGCGAGGCACGUGAAACCUUGUCUGAAUAUGGGGGGACCAUCCUCCAAGGCUAAAUACUCCUGACUGACCGAUAGUGAACCAGUACCGUGAGGGAAAGGCGAAAAGAACCCCUGUGAGGGGAGUGAAAUAGAUCCUGAAACCGCAUGCAUACAAGCAGUGGGAGCACCUUCGUGGUGUGACUGCGUACCUUUUGUAUAAUGGGUCAGCGACUUAUAUUCAGUAGCGAGGUUAACCGUAUAGGGGAGCCGUAGAGAAAUCGAGUCUUAAUAGGGCGUUUAGUUGCUGGGUAUAGACCCGAAACCAGGCGAUCUAUCCAUGAGCAGGUUGAAGGUUGGGUAACACUAACUGGAGGACCGAACCCACUGUCGUUGAAAAGCCAGGGGAUGACUUGUGGAUAGGGGUGAAAGGCUAAUCAAGCCUGGUGAUAGCUGGUUCUCCCCGAAAGCUAUUUAGGUAGCGCCUCGGACGAAUACCAUAGGGGGUAGAGCACUGUUUCGGCUAGGGGGUCAUCCCGACUUACCAAACCGAUGCAAACUCCGAAUACCUAUGAGUACUAUCCGGGAGACAGACUGCGGGUGCUAACGUCCGUAGUCAAGAGGAAAACAAUCCAGACCGCCAGCUAAGGCCCCAAAAUCAUAGUUAAGUGGGAAACGAUGUGGGAAGGCAUAGACAGCUAGGAGGUUGGCUUAGAAGCAGCCACCCUUUAAAGAAAGCGUAAUAGCUCACUAGUCGAGUCGGCCUGCGCGGAAGAUGUAACGGGGCUAAAACUAUGUGCCGAAGCUGCGGANNAUGCUGGAGGUAUCAGAAGUGCGAAUGCUGACGUGAGUAACGACAAAACGGGUGAAAAACCCGUUCGCCGAAAGACCAAGGGUUCCAGUCCAACGUUAAUCGGGGCUGGGUGAGUCGACCCCUAAGGCGAGGCCGAAAGGCGUAGUCGAUGGGAAAAUGGUUAAUAUUCCAUUACUUCUGUGUAAUGCGAUGAGAGGACGGAGAAGGCUAAAUCAGCCUGGCGUUGGUUGUCCAGGUGAAAGGAUGUAGGCAUGUAUCUUAGGCAAAUCCGGGGUACUCUAUGCUGAGAUCUGAUAGCAAGCUGUACUUGUACAGCGAAGUGGUUGAUGCCAUGCUUCCAGGAAAAGUCUCUAAGCUUCAGUUACACAGGAAUCGUACCCGAAACCGACACAGGUGGUCAGGUCGAGUAGACCAAGGCGCUUGAGAGAACUCUGCUGAAGGAACUAGGCAAAAUGGUACCGUAACUUCGGGAGAAGGUACGCUGUUGUUGGUGAUGGAACUCGCUUCCUGAGCUGACGACAGCCGCAGAAACCAGGCCGCUGCAACUGUUUAUUAAAAACAUAGCACUCUGCAAACACGAAAGUGGACGUAUAGGGUGUGAUGCCUGCCCGGUGCUGGAAGGUUAAUUGAUGGGGUUAGCGUAAGCGAAGCUCUUGAUCGAAGCCCCAGUAAACGGCGGCCGUAACUAUAACGGUCCUAAGGUAGCGAAAUUCCUUGUCGGGUAAGUUCCGACCUGCACGAAUGGCAUAAUGAUGGCGGCGCUGUCUCCAGCAGAGGCUCAGUGAAAUCGAAAUCGCUGUGAAGAUGCAGUGUACCCGCGGCUAGACGGAAAGACCCCGUGAACCUUUACUGCAGCUUGACACUGAACUUUGACCUUACUUGUGUAGGAUAGGUGGGAGGCUUUGAAGCUGGAACGCUAGUUCCAGUGGAGCCGUCCUUGAAAUACCACCCUGGUAAUGUUGAGGUUCUAACUCUGUCCCGUGAUCCGGGACGAGGACCGUGUCUGGUGGGUAGUUUGACUGGGGCGGUCUCCUCCUAAAGAGUAACGGAGGAGUACGAAGGUGCGCUCAGCGUGGUCGGAAAUCACGCGUAGAGUAUAAAGGCAAAAGCGCGCUUAACUGCGAGACCCACAAGUCGAGCAGGUACGAAAGUAGGUCUUAGUGAUCCGGUGGUUCUGUAUGGAAGGGCCAUCGCUCAACGGAUAAAAGGUACUCUGGGGAUAACAGGCUGAUACCGCCCAAGAGUUCAUAUCGACGGCGGUGUUUGGCACCUCGAUGUCGGCUCAUCUCAUCCUGGGGCUGAAGCAGGUCCCAAGGGUAUGGCUGUUCGCCAUUUAAAGAGGUACGCGAGCUGGGUUUAGAACGUCGUGAGACAGUUCGGUCCCUAUCUACCGUGGGCGCUGGAAAUUUGAGAGGAUCUGCUCCUAGUACGAGAGGACCAGAGUGGACGAACCUCUGGUGUACCGGUUGUGACGCCAGUCGCAUCGCCGGGUAGCUAUGUUCGGAAGGGAUAACCGCUGAAAGCAUCUAAGCGGGAAGCCUACCUCAAGAUAAGAUUUCCCUAGGACUUUAUGUCCUCUAAAGAGCCGUUCGAGACUAGGACGUUGAUAGGUUGGAUGUGGAAGCAUAGUGAUAUGUGAAGCUGACCAAUACUAAUUGCUCGUGAGGCUUGACUAUACAACACCCAAGCAGUUG
rnacentral:rRNA from 1 species